GAGUCAGCAGCCGCCGCGGUAAUACGAAGGGGGCUAGCGUUGUUCGGAAUCACUGGGCGUAAAGGGUGCGUAGGCGGAUUCUUAAGUCAGGGGUGAAAUCCCGAGGCUCAACCUCGGAACUGCCUUUGAUACUGGGGAUCUUGAGUCCGGAAGAGGUAAGUGGAAUUCCGAGUGUAGAGGUGAAAUUCGUAGAUAUUCGGAAGAACACCAGUGGCGAAGGCGGCUUACUGGCUCAUACUGGACGCUGAGGUGCGAAAGCGUGGGGAGCAAACAGGAUUAGAUACCCCCGUAGUCCCUGUCUCUUAUAC
rnacentral:rRNA from 1 species